UAAUGAGUGACGGCGUGCCUUUUGCAUAAUGAACCUACGAGUUGCCUUUGCCGGCAAGGUUAAGUGUGACGACACACGUAUCCGAAGCGAAAGCGAGUCUGAACAGGGCGUAUAGUCGGCAGUGGCAGACGCGAAACCAAGUGAUCUACCCUUGGCCAGGUUGAAGGCUGGGUAACACCAGCUGGAGGACCGCACCAAUAAGCGUUGAAAAGCUUCUGGAUGAGCUGAGGGUAGGGGUGAAAGGCUAAUCAAACUUGGAGAUAGCUCGUACUCCCCGAAAUGCAUUUAGGUGCAGCCUUGCGGGUUACUGAUGUGAGGUAGAGCGACUGAUAAGAUGCGAGGGCUUCACCGCCUAUCAAGUCUUGACAAACUCCGAAUGCGCAUCAGUUCUACCGCAGGAGUGAGGGCAUGGGUGCUAAGGUCCGUGCCCGAGAGGAGAAGAAUCCGGACCACCUGCUAAGGUCCCGAAAUGACAGCUAAGUUAAACUAACGAAGUCUGACUGCUAAGACAGCUAGGAUGUUGGCUUGGAAGCAGCCAUUCAUUUAAAGAGUGCGUAACAGCUCACUAGUCGAGGAGUCGGGCGUGGAUAAUAAUCGGGUAUCAAGUUGUCUACCGAAGCAGUGGGAUCAUUUAUAUGAUCGGUAGGGGAGCAUUCCAGUCGGCGUCGAAGGCGUACCGCGAGGUAUUCUGGAGCGUCUGGAAAAGCAAAUGUAGGUAUAAGUAACGAUAAAGGGGGCGGGAAACCCCCUCGCCGAAAGACUAAGGUUUCCUGAUCAACGCUAAUCGGAUCAGGGUCAGUCGGGUCCUAAGGCUCAGCCGAACGGCGAUGCCGAUGGCAGAAACGGUUAAUAUUCCGUUACUACCUUCAGGAGUGACGUGGAGACGCAGUAGUGACAGUGCCGCCAUCUGACGGAAUAGAUGGUUGAAGGGUGUAGGAGUCGAUCAUGGCAGGCAAAUCCACCAUGAGAUCCGAACCUGACAGUAUGCCGCGUCCUUCGGGACAAGGCAAUAGUGCGCGUAAGCAUGCUGCCGAGAAAAUCCGCUAAACUUAAUCUUGGAGGUACCCGUACCGCAAACGGACACACGUAGUCGGGAUGAAUAUUCUAAGGCGCUUGAGUGAUUCACGGUUAAGGAACUAGGCAAACUGACCCUGUAACUUCGGGAUAAAGGGUCCCUACCCUUUUAUGGGAGGGCGCAGAGAAUCGGUCCAGGCAACUGUUUAACAAAAACACAGGGCUGUGCCAAAUCGAAAGAUCCAGUAUACAGCCUGACACCUGCCCGGUGCUGGAAGGUUAAGAGGAGAUGUCAUCGAUAAGAGAAGCGUUGAAUUGAAGCCCCAGUAAACGGCGGCCGUAACUAUAACGGUCCUAAGGUAGCGAAAUUCCUUGUC
rnacentral:rRNA from 1 species